AUUUUCCACAGCUUCUCUCGGUUCAUGAGGGUUCCGUUUAAUAACCUUAACUGACGAAUCCAUUUCACCGCGAUUCGAAGUCAGGAUCAUUAACGCAAAGGAAAGCAUCAGUGGAUGACGAAAUUCGGUUCAAUGUGUCCGCGAAGUACUCUUCCGGAAAGCCCGUCAUUCAGUGUUGCGACUGGCUUCGAUACAUACGAUUAUAAUAAAACCACAUACAAUCCAUACAACGAUACGUGCCAAUCUGGAAUACGUCAGCACCUGUGAACAACCAGGGCGAAGCAGUCAUAGUUGUUCCACUGCAGCCAGUGCUAAAGGACUUCCAAGAUCGAAUGCGCGUCAGUAUUCGGGCCAAUUUCACCGAAACCGGAACCGGUCAGAUGCGGAGCGCCAC